rnacentral:tRNA from 1 species
GUGCCAGUAGCUCAGUUGGAUAGAGCAUCGGCCUUCUAAGCCGAGGGUCUGGGGUUCGAAUCCCUACUGGCACGCCA